rnacentral:rRNA from 1 species
GACGUAGGGUGCGAGCGUUGUCCGGAAUUAUUGGGCGUAAAGAGCUCGUAGGUGGUUUGUUACGUCUGCUGUGAAAACCUAGGGCUUAACCCUGGGCUUGCAGUGGAUACGGGCAGACUAGAGGUAGGUAUGGGAGAAUGGAAUUCCUGGUGUAGCGGUGAAAUGCGCAGAUAUCAGGAGGAACACCGGUGGCGAAGGCGGUUCUCUGGGCCUUACCUGACACUGAGGAGCGAAAGCGUGGGGAGCGAACAGG